UUAAUUUGAGAGUUUGAUCCUGGCUCAGGACGAACGCUGGCGGCGUGCCUAAUACAUGCAAGUCGAACGAACUCUGGUAUUGAUUGGUGCUUGCAUCAUGAUUUACAUUUGAGUGAGUGGCGAACUGGUGAGUAACACGUGGGAAACCUGCCCAGAAGCGGGGGAUAACACCUGGAAACAGAUGCUAAUACCGCAUAACAACUUGGACCGCAUGGUCCGAGUUUGAAAGAUGGCUUCGGCUAUCACUUUUGGAUGGUCCCGCGGCGUAUUAGCUAGAUGGUGGGGUAACGGCUCACCAUGGCAAUGAUACGUAGCCGACCUGAGAGGGUAAUCGGCCACAUUGGGACUGAGACACGGCCCAAACUCCUACGGGAGGCAGCAGUAGGGAAUCUUCCACAAUGGACGAAAGUCUGAUGGAGCAACGCCGCGUGAGUGAAGAAGGGUUUCGGCUCGUAAAACUCUGUUGUUAAAGAAGAACAUAUCUGAGAGUAACUGUUCAGGUAUUGACGGUAUUUAACCAGAAAGCCACGGCUAACUACGUGCCAGCAGCCGCGGUAAUACGUAGGUGGCAAGCGUUGUCCGGAUUUAUUGGGCGUAAAGCGAGCGCAGGCGGUUUUUUAAGUCUGAUGUGAAAGCCUUCGGCUCAACCGAAGAAGUGCAUCGGAAACUGGGAAACUUGAGUGCAGAAGAGGACAGUGGAACUCCAUGUGUAGCGGUGAAAUGCGUAGAUAUAUGGAAGAACACCAGUGGCGAAGGCGGCUGUCUGGUCUGUAACUGACGCUGAGGCUCGAAAGUAUGGGUAGCAAACAGGAUUAGAUACCCUGGUAGUCCAUACCGUAAACGAUGAAUGCUAAGUGUUGGAGGGUUUCCGCCCUUCAGUGCUGCAGCUAACGCAUUAAGCAUUCCGCCUGGGGAGUACGGCCGCAAGGCUGAAACUCAAAGGAAUUGACGGGGGCCCGCACAAGCGGUGGAGCAUGUGGUUUAAUUCGAAGCUACGCGAAGAACCUUACCAGGUCUUGACAUACUAUGCAAAUUUAAGAGAUUAGACGUUCCCUUCGGGGACAUGGAUACAGGUGGUGCAUGGUUGUCGUCAGCUCGUGUCGUGAGAUGUUGGGUUAAGUCCCGCAACGAGCGCAACCCUUAUUAUCAGUUGCCAGCAUUAAGUUGGGCACUCUGGUGAGACUGCCGGUGACAAACCGGAGGAAGGUGGGGAUGACGUCAAAUCAUCAUGCCCCUUAUGACCUGGGCUACACACGUGCUACAAUGGAUGGUACAACGAGUUGCGAACUCGCGAGAGUAAGCUAAUCUCUUAAAGCCAUUCUCAGUUCGGAUUGUAGGCUGCAACUCGCCUACAUGAAGUCGGAAUCGCUAGUAAUCGCGGAUCAGCAUGCCGCGGUGAAUACGUUCCCGGGCCUUGUACACACCGCCCGUCACACCAUGAGAGUUUGUAACACCCAAAGUCGGUGGGGUAACCUUUUAGGAACCAGCCGCCUAAGGUGGGACAGAUGAUUAGGGUGAAGUCGUAACAAGGUAGCCGUAGGAGAACCUGCGGCUGGAUCACCUCCUUUCUAAGGAA
rnacentral:rRNA from 1 species